rnacentral:rRNA from 1 species
UGGUAGUAGCAAAUAUUCAAAUGAGAACUUUGAAGACUGAAGUGGAGAAAGGUUCCACGUGAACAGCAAUUGGACGUGGGUUAGUCGAUCCUAAGAGAUAGGAGAAAUCUGUUGUAAGGUCUGGCUAUCUUCGGAAAGCCGCUUCUAUCGAAAGGGAAUCGGGUUAAUAUUCCCGAACCAGGACGUGGAUAUUGAGUGGUAACACAAGCGAAGCUGGGGACGGCGGCGGGAGCCCCGACAAGAGUUUUCUGUUCUUGUUAACAAGUGCACCGACCCUGGAAUCGGAUUGACCGGAGAUAGGGUUGGAGGCUUGGGAAAGGCGGUUAGUUUUGGACCGUUUCGGUGCGCUCUCGACGUUCCGUGAAAACCCAGCGGCGUGACUUAUUCGCACCCCUGGUCGUACUCAUCACCGCAUCAGGUCUCCAAGGUUAGCAGCCUCUAGUCGAUAGAAGAAUGUAGAUAAGGGAAGUCGGCAAACUAGAUCCGUAACUUCGGGAAAAGGAUUGGCUCUGAGGGUUGGGCUUGUGGGUCUCCGUGGCAAUGGGAUAGCGGGAUACGGUGGACUGCGCGGCCCUCACGGGCUGCGCGGACCGUCGGUCGUCCAGCUCCUCGGCGCUGCGGAGGACGGGUGCUUUCACGAGUGCCCUUUCCGCAACGCGUUGAACAACCAACUCAGAACUGGAGCGGACAAGGGGAAUCCGACUGU